CUGUAUUACGUUGAGACACCGGUUCUCAUAUGAUCACAGAAGUUAAGCAACUUCCAACCUGGUCAUAACCUAGAUGGGUGACCGCUUGGGAAUACCAGGUGUUGUAAG